AUUGAACGCUAGCGGGAUGCUUUACACAUGCAAGUCGAACGGCAGCGCGGACUUCGGUCUGGCGGCGAGUGGCGAACGGGUGAGUAAUGUAUCGGAACGUGCCCAGUAGCGGGGGAUAACUACGCGAAAGCGUAGCUAAUACCGCAUACGCCCUACGGGGGAAAGCAGGGGAUCGUAAGACCUUGCACUAUUGGAGCGGCCGAUAUCGGAUUAGCUAGUUGGUGAGGUAACGGCUCACCAAGGCGACGAUCCGUAGCUGGUUUGAGAGGACGACCAGCCACACUGGGACUGAGACACGGCCCAGACUCCUACGGGAGGCAGCAGUGGGGAAUUUUGGAAUGGGGGCAACCCUGAUCCAGCCAUCCCGCGUGUGCGAUGAAGGCCUUCGGGUUGUAAAGCACUUUUGGCAGGAAAGAAACGUCGCGGGCUAAUACCCCGUGGAACUGACGGUACCUGCAGAAUAAGCACCGGCUAACUACGUG
rnacentral:rRNA from 1 species